CCAGGUUUGUCUAACUUUUUUUGUAUUUUUAGUAGAGACGGAGUUUCACCAUGCUGUCCAGGCUGGUCCUGAACUCCUGACCUCAGGUGAUCCACCCACCUCGGCUUUCCAAAGUGCUGGGAUUAGACAUGUGAGCCAUCGCACCUAGCCAACAUAACAAAUUUUACAAGAAAAUUUAGGAGACUAUAUGAGCAACCUGAGUGAAACUUAAUAAAAUUGAGAAGCGAUUAAGGAAAAGUGAGACCUUGGAAAACAUUGUAGGCCAAAAGAUACAUAAGCAGGGUCAAUAGACAAACGAAUUAUGGAAAUGUGAGACAAAGUUUAAGAUCUACAACAUACAAUAAGGAUUUACAAAUUAAUAAGAAAUAGUUAACUCAGUAGAAAAAUGGGCAAAGGAUAAAAAUGGGUAAUUCACAGAAGAGUUCAUCCAAAUGGCCAAAAAUACAAAUGAAGACGUGCUCAGCUCCAGCAGCAGGAAAAUGCAAUUUAAAGUAACAAUGAGAGAUCGUUUUAUACCCACAGCUAAAACCUGCAUUUCUGGUAGGGAGGCACAGGAUAAGAUACUUUCAUACGUUGUUUGCGGAAAUGUGAAACAUUACUGUUUUUUUGAAAUGCAAACUUUAUUAAAAGUAUAUAUAAUAUACAUUAAAAGUGUAUAAAAUAUAUAUAUCUCCAUUGAUUUACUUCUAGGCAUUCAUUCCAUGAGAACACAAACCCUAGAGAGUAUAGGCAUAGGAAUAGAAUUUUUUGCCUCAUGUUUAUAGUUAAAGAAAAGAUAAAGCUAUUGUUCAUCAAUAGGUGAAUGGCUGAAUAAAUCGUGCAAUAUUCACGCUAUGGAAUAUUAUGUAAUGUCAAAAAUUAUGUGAAACUUAUAUCAGUUUAUUUCGGGGGAUUUCCUUGAAGUACUAUUGCAUAAAAAAGCGAAAUGCAAGAGAGUAUAAUAGAAUAUGAUCCCAUUUUUGUAAAAUAACAAUUAAAAUCUCUAAUACUUGCAUAUGUGUGUUUGCAUACAAUGUAAAUGUGUCUGUCAGUGAUUACUCAAUUAAGGAGAAAACAUACAGGAGGUUGGAUACAGUGGGUUAUCUGGGGUCAAAGGGGAGGGUAGUACAAGCUGACAUGAGCAGUGUGGAAAGUGAGGAGGGAGACAUUAUUGGCUCAUCCUCCACCAAAAAAAUAAAAUAAAAUAAAAAAGCACGGGCCUUUGGAAUUGGACUCCCUCAUCCUGCAGCCUAGCUAGCCCCCUCCCCCCAAAAUGCGUGACUCCCUUGGGCAUCCCUCCCACCACCCUAUACGUGGCCUUCCAUGUGUUUUCCAUGAUGCUAGAAUAGGGCAGUCAAGUCACCAAGUCGCAGGGAGGGGCCAGGGCUGGGGGGCUGCUUUCAGUGCAUGAGAAAGGACCUCAGGGUCCAGAGUUCAGGCCCCAUUCUCCCCAGGCGACUUGGCAAAUUCAUGAGAGUGAGUGGAAGAGGCCACGGAGUAUUAAUUGACUUGUUCUCUCAACUGAAGUCCUCCUUCCGUCUUAGCUGACAGGUCAUGUCCUCAGAAAGGAUUCUUCUGAGUCCCACCCCUCAGUGAUCUUGCCCUUCACUCCCUUUCAUAGCCCUCAUUACAAUUUGCCAUCGUUUUUGUUUGUGUGUGAUUAAUGUCUAUUUCCCAAGCGCCACAAGAGGAGGAACGCUGCCUGUGCAGCACCCAGUAUGAGAUGCGGCAGGGUCCCGGCAAUGCUGGCUGCUUUCAGUCAUUUGCUCACUCACUCUCUCCUUCAUUGACUCAAUCUUUUCUGCAUUUCUUUAUUCAUUUUUUCCCUUAUUCACUCCAGAAACAUGCUAUUGGUCCAUGCCUUUUCCCGAUCUGAAUCUUCCGCUUUCUAGGGUGGCUUUUUCAGAGAAGGAGGGAGUGGGGACAUGAUGGCAGAAUUCUGGGAAUGCAUCCACAACUUGGGAGGGCCUAGCUGGGUGAGUUGGAAGCUCUCCAGGGAAGGAGGGAAGAUUUCAGAAGGCUGGAAGUCCUGAGCAGAAGGUGCUGAAUGAGGAGAGAGGAGAAAGUGAUGCGAUGGAGGCUGGGCCAGGCAGACCCCUCUACUCCCAGACAUGCCCUGGCUCUUCCUGCUGCCAGGCCUUGGGUCCUGCCAUUUGUUCUGCCUGGAAAGCCUCUUCCCAUCUCCACGUGUUGAAAUCCUACCCUUCCUUGCAGAGCCAGCCCAGAUGUCCUCGAAGUCUUGCCUCACUUCUCCAGCUGGAAGGGCUGCUCCCUGCUGCAAACAAACUUCCCGAGCACAAAAUCUGGACCUCCCUCAAGGCGCUGACCACUUCCUGGCUUGGGUUGUGGUGUGGCCCCUCUCUCCACCCCAUAGACAGAGGCUCUGUCCAACUGUUCCCUGUAUCCCGCAGGGCCUAGGGCCCAGCACAGAGCAGAUGCCCAAGCCACUCUGGCCGAACGAAUGAGCAGUGCUGAGUUUGGGGGUGUGGGCGAUGAUUAUGACCCCAUUUUACAGAUGCAGAAAUAGAGGUGCAGCUAAGUGACGGUCUUGGCCUUGGUCCCACAGUGAGGAAGCAGCAGAACCUAGACUCAGGCCCGUGUUUCUGGUCCCAGAGGCCAGACUCUUUCCAGGGCAGCUUGGUGGGAGGUGAGGUAGGGUGGGGUGGAGUGAGACUGGAUCCUGGGAACCAGGAGGCCAGGGAGAGCUGGAGUUCGGACGGCCAAGUUCACGGAAAGCGCAGCUGGGGAGGAGCCAAGGUAUUUAUUAUGCUUGGUCUCCAGUUCCAAACAGAGCUGAUGGAUGGAGCUGCUCCAGUUCCUAUAAACAGCUCGGGCCUCCCUCUCCCCCACCCCGCCCUCCCCAUUCUCAGCCACCACAGCCCAACUGUUUCCAGUGCGAUAGGGGUGGGGGUGGGGGGAGAUGACCAAGAAGAGAAGAAUGGGAGACGAGGGGGAGCAAAGGAGGGGGGGAGGACAAAGAUAAGACGGGGUCCUAGAGGCCUGAGGAAGCUGCAGGGAAUGGAGGGUGGUCAGAGAGGAUUCUUUGCCUCCCCACUGGCCCCUGCUGCCGUGGGCAGCCCACAGUCUGCAUUCCCCUGUCCUCUCUGUGUCCCCUAGGUCUGUUCAAAAAGCCUCCUCACCACACUCUCUGAGGGCUUGUCUCAACUCCACAAGCUUCUGAGUCCUGGAAGACAGGGGCCAUUCACUCAGAAAACCUUUUCUGAGCUGGCUUUAGUCUGUGUUGGCUCACAGGCCCUGGGGACAGAUAGGACUCCAGGUAGGACCUCCCCCCAGGACCUCCUGGCCUGGUGGGUGGGUCAGGCAGACACCCAAUGCUGAGGGCAGCCCAGACCUGUGGGCAGCUGGAGGAGAGAAAUCCAGACAGUCUCCCCAGAGAAGGUGAUGGAGGUGAUACAGGCGAGGGUGGUGAAGGAGAUUGUGCAGGUGGGUGGGGGGGUGAGCUGGUUCCGGCAGAGGAGGCGGGAGAGGUGCAGGAGGCAGUGCUGCCUAAUGGUUAAGACUGCUGGCUCCAGAGUGGGACAGCCUGGGUUCAAGUCUCAUCGCUGGAGCUCAGUUCUCUAAAAUGAGGAUGGUAACAGUAGAAAUCUCUUCAACGGCUGUCAGAAUUAAACAUGACAAUCCACAUCCAGUGCUCAGCAUGGGCCCGCCCGGAAGUGCUCAACAAUGGCCAUCUCUGAGCAUGUUGUGAGAGGUGGCGGGAGAGAGAUGGGCCUCAUGGGCUCAGUGAACUGCCUGAAGGACAGGGGCACAGAACACAGACGGUGGGUCCCAGAUCCUGGAGGAUGUGGCCAGCCUGUGGGUCUGAGAGGGUGAGUUGCUGGCGCGUCCCGGGACCCGUUCCUGGUGGAGUGCCACGCCAGCGCAUGGAACCCCAGGAGUUGGGCCCUGCACCUCAGGCUGACUGUGACCUGGGAGUGGCAGGGCCUCCCCUCUCCCUGCAAGCUAAGAGCUCGGGAAGCUGGAUGUUCUGAUGACCUAGUUGGCUGCUGUGUCCACGUUUGGCUGAAAACAGGAAUUUCUGCCUCACCGGGGGUCUUGGCCAGGCUUUAUACUGUUGGUUAAACUUCUGCCGGCGGACGCAGCAGCAGGCGGCCAGCGUGGUGAGGAGGAUGGCAGAGACCAGUAUGAAGGCCUCCAGGAACCCCAGCCUUUCCCAGAAAAAGGUCUGACUUCCACAAUCACCGGGCUCAGGCUCACCGCCCCCAGCUUCUGUCUCCGCCAACCCGUUCUGACCCACUCACUGCUAAAUGCCUGACAACUGCUCAAAAGCUCUACUCUGACAAUGAGGCAGCUUGGCUUAAACUUCUCCACGGUGAAGUCCAGGAUCCCCAGCAGGGCCUUCGAGGCUGUUUGUAGCCCCUGCCAACCUGUCCCCCACCUCCCACCCCAGCCCACAUGCAGUGACCACAGCUGACCACUGCCCAUCAUGCGCUCCCACACCCACUGCUGGGGCCUGCUCCCUGAGCUGGUUAUGCCAUCCCCAACCAGAUCCACACAUGAACUCUUCACACUGAGCUUCAGGGCCUCCUCCACCAGGGAGCCCUCCCUGACUGUGCUUCCUCUCAGAGCUUUGCCCCGCUGAAUUGUGGCUGUGUGUGUGAGGACCUGCUAGACAGCGAGCUCAGAGCAAACAGGGACUGGUUUGGUGGAUGUGCAUGCCUUGGACCUGACUAGCAAGUCAAUUUUUCCUAAUGAAUGAGUCCCAGACAUCAUCAGUUUAGUAAAGGUCUGAGGCACUGAAUCAAUCACUUCUCUAGGAGGAAAGAAAAUGCAUAAUUGAUAUUUUCAAAAUAUAGUCAAAGACGGGUAGAGCAAGAAGAGUUCAGCUGACCCACUUCCCAGAUGUGAACACUGAGGCCUGAAGAUGGCAGUGACUUGCGUGAAUUCACAGUGAGCCAGUGGCUGAGCUGGUAGGGAGGGAACACAAGCCGGUGUGUUCCUCCCCUGGUCCAGCUCUGCGCUUCCUCCUGAGAGCCCCAAGGUGAGUAGGGGGAGGAAGAGACCUGCCCAGCCUCAGGCCUCCGUGUGGCUCUUCUUACUCCAUGCAGCACAGUGACUCCAUGUAGCCUCCAAGGGAGGCAGCUUCACAGGGGCCUCAGGAGGCCCAGGGAUGCCCCGUCAGUUGGGCACCUGUGUGAACCUGAAACCUGCCCAGCUGCCUUGCCCAUCCUUGCCCUUCCUCCCUCACAACCUCUCUGUCUGCAGGGGCCACUAAACAUAGCCUCCUCCUCACAGCCCUUACCCCCUGGGGCAUUCCUUACUUAAAGCAGAAACAACAAAAUGACCUGUGAUGGAGCCCCAGCUGUGUCAGGCUGCGUGCUGAGUGCAGAGACCCCCUACCCCAUUAAAUCUUCCCAGGCAUUGUUCACCCUGUUCCUAUUGUACCCCUAACGAAACUGAGGCUAAGGGGAGUGGGCUGCCCAAGAUCAGACAGUCAGGGGCUCAAAACUCCCAUUUGCAAAUUCCUUUUCCUAUUGGUGCCAGCCAAGUUCUGACCACUGGGCCCUCAGCUGGUCAGCACAGCAAAGAGCAUCAUGGACCCACUUACUGACUGUUACAGUGUGGGGGGCACCGUGCUGUGCCCCGCGUGUUACCCCCGGGCAAGUGCAGAGGCAUACUGCCUCUGGAUAGGCAAAGGCUCCCUGGGGCACCAGCCCCUGAGACUUGAUCCAGGACACAAAGUUUGCCAAGCCCACAGCCCAAGACUGGCUUUCCAUUCAGGGGCCCAAGACCCCUGCUCUAGAAGCCUGGGGGCCUGAUGGUGGGCAGGGCUGCACUGGGAUGCCCAGAUCUCCAGUCCAGUCCAGGAAGAAGCUUGAAGUCCAGGGCGGUGCUCAGAGCUCCACUUCCAGGGUCUUCAUGCCUCCUUCAGCUCUGAGCUCCCAGCAUUGCCUGACUUACCGUCGGAGGGAAUUGGAGGAAUUGGCCCUUGACCAGAGUUUAGAGCUCCCACCCACUGUCCUGGGCUAUCAGGACACCCACUGCCCAGCUUCCUUUUCAGAAGCAAAGACUUGCCAUCCAACUCCAUUUCACCACCUGAUCAUGGGAGGAAAGCAGAGUAGGGAGAGGCACCAGGCAGUGAACAGUGGCAAA
rnacentral:lncRNA from 1 species